rnacentral:lncRNA from 1 species
AUCUGGGAGGGGACACAGACAAAUCAUAUCAACUUGCAAGCCAGCCAUCGUGGCUGUCCUGUCUAGCUGAGAUUCUGCUGACUGUAAGUACAGAAGACGUCUGACUGCGAUCAUGUACUAGACCCCAGUGAGUGUUCAGCUGAGCCUUCCCUGUAUUCCUGACCCACAAAAUGAGCAAGUCUUAUGGCCAAGCUUAAAGUCAAUGGGACAGAGAAGGAAGCAUGCUCUCCCAGUGAAGCCCUGGCACAGUGAAGGGAAUAAGUGGAAGAACUGAUCUUACUCUGUUGCCCAGGUUGGAAUGCAAUGGCUCGAUCUCUGCUCACUGCAGCCUCCGCCUCAUGGGUUCAAGGGAUUCUCAUGUCUCAGCCUCCCGACUGGCUGGGACUACAGGAACAACAACUUCUUAAAUAUUAUUUGGAUGAUUCAUAAUAGUCUUACGGAUAUAUCAUACUUUUCUGAAAACUCCUGCCAUCAUUUAACAUUCUGACUUCUCUCAAAAUUCUAUCAUGAAGAAUAGUUUCCUGAACAUUUUUGCUCAUAAAUCUUGGUCUGACAGUUCUGAUUCUGUCCAUAGGCUUGAUUCCCAGAGUGGAGUUAUUGUUUCAAAAGGAGUGAACACUGUUUAAAAGCUUUGGAAAGCUACUGCCAGAAUCAUCUCCAAAUAAUAAUAUACCAAUUUAUAUUUCCACCAGUGCUCUUAAUGGGAUUUUACAAAAUGGUCAAUUUGAAAGAAGCAAGUUAUCUCAUUGCUAGUCUAACUUAUUUGAUUUACAUUGAUUCAGUUUUCUUCUUUCUGAAUUGUCUAUCUUUGCAUUAAUAUUUUUCAUGGGGAUUUGUACAAACUAUAUAUUAAAGCUAAUAAUCCUGUGUUACAGUUGUUGGAAACAUUUGUAUCAGUUCGUUUACUUUUUCCAUCUGAUUGUGUUGCUUUUAGCUAUUCAAAUGCUUAAAAUUUUUAUAUCAUUAAAUCUAGAAAAAUGUGUCCUUGUGAAGAGAGCUUUGAGAAGUUCUUUGUUGUUUUAAGCUUGUCAAGUCCUCCUUGAUCUCAGUGUUUGAUAAAUAUUCAUUUUGA